rnacentral:lncRNA from 1 species
UUACCACCCCUGUCCCGUCUCCCUCAUACACUCAGAAUUCUCAACGUAAUGCUGUCGGCCGGAAAUCGUCGCCGGCGCGGCAAGUCUCCAAAUGACCUGAGAUUUACACCCAAGAUUCCUUUCAAAGCCCCAUAUUUUCAUAGCUCGAAUCCCACCCAAACUCCUCGAAUGUUUGUUUCUGUCACUGCCAUCUCCGCCACCCACGGCGGCACCAGUCACCAAACCCGACCAAAAUAACACCAAUUGCUCUCCUCACUCUCCUCUUUCCAACCAUGCCACCAUCUUCCUUCGGAUCUAACCCCACCUUCUCGAAUAUAUGUCUGAAGCUCAGGCCCAAAAUAACACCUUUUACAAAUGGCUCCACAUUCGCACCCCACAAUCCCACGACCUCCCUCACCCCUAAUCCCUAACCAAAAUACCUCGAAUCUUAGUAAAACUCAACGAUUUUCAAAUCUAGGGUUCGAUUGGUUUAAACCUGUUUUGGGGAUUUAUUGUUUAAUUGGUUUUAGGUUAAUGUUACAUAUUUAUUUCAGACAAAAUAAACGUGAAACAUUAAGUCGAAGCCAAUUUGACGUCAGUCGAGUUCGAGUUAAAUCCGUAAGUCUCCUCAUUUUUUUGUUCUUUUCAUCUUCCUCUCUGUUCUCAUGAAUGUUUCUUGGUUUAAUUUGUGCUUCUGUGGUUAAUUGGUUCAUUCUGAAAGUUCAUUCUGAUUUUUUGUUUCAUUAGUUAGAUUAUAAAGAGUUGGUUAAUUCUGAGUUUUGAUAGUUUGGUUGGUGAUUAUUUCGAAUAUUUAGAUUUAACUAGUGUUGAUUCAAUUCUGAUAUAUAGUUGUUUGCAAUUUGCUGUUUGGUUGUAGUUGAAUCAGAUUUAGUGGAGUUAUCAUUGGUUGAUCAUGUUUAGUUGUUUAGUUUAGUGUUUGAUUGAUUUGGUUGGGAGUAAUUUGCAGUUCUGGUUUACUUAGCUUAAUGUAGUCAAGCCUUUUGUUUAACUAGUGUUAAGGGGGUCUGAUUGGACAAUAAUUUUAGGGGGUUUUCAAGGGUAGUUUGGGCAUGGAAAAUGGCUUUUUUGUUAGGAAUAAUAAUUUCAAAACAAUAACAAGGGUAGUAUAGGUAUUGUAUAUGUAGAAGAACACCUUAGGGCUUUCUAGAAUAGGACUUUAGUGUAGAUUUCAGCCAACUUAGGAUACUAUCUUGGGAAACAAGUCAAAAAAUGAGGGAUUAAUCUGAAAUAAAGUAGGUACUGAAUUUGAAAUCUGAAAAUAUGACUUGCACCUCAUCUUUGCCUAUAAAAGGGAAUUUCCAUGCCAUAACACACAAGUUUGGCAGCCCAAAAACUCCCUCAAAAGUGUGCUCUCCAGUUUCAGAUUUAAGAUCUGAAAUCCAAACUUCAAAAUUCCAAAAACAAUAGAAAACCUCCAAAAAACUUAAGAAAAACGAGUAAAAUACUGUUCCAUUGAAGUUUCUCAAUUAGUUUCUGCAUUUCAGCUUUCAAAUCAACCUGUUAGCUUAGUUAGGAUCAAAAUUACUUGAAUUUUCUCUGGUUUCUGUUCAAUUUGGAGAAAUAGAGGUAGUUUGAGUCAGCUAUUAAUUAUAUACUAAUUGUUAUGAAGUGCUGGGUUCCUUUUGGAUUAUCUAAAGCUGUUUUGGUUUGACAUGUUGAAUCUGUUUGGUUUCCAACUCAUCCUGGGUUGUGCACUUGUUUCUGGGCUAUUUGUUUGUUAAUAUGCUUUGCUAUUGCUGCUGGAACUUCCUACUUACUAUUUUUGAUGUAUUACAGGUACAAACUUUGAACCUAUUGAGAUGUACAUAUUGAUUUAAAGAAGGAAUGAAAGGUAGUACUAAAAUCCUGGUAAUGUUUUGGUUGUGCUUGGCUAUGUUUCCUUCAUGAUGCUUAUGUACUGGUUUCUGUUCAAUUUGGAGAAUAGAGGCAGUUCGAGUCAACUAUUAGUUAUAUACUGAUCAUGAAUGAAGGAUUGGGCUCAUUUUGAAUGACUUGACGAUGUUUUGGUUUGUUUAGUUGAUUGUAAUGCUUUCCUGUUUGCAUUUCUAGGCCUGUUGGUGCUGUUUUGGGGAUUGAUAUGUAGUCUCUUUGGUUUAAAUCAUUUCUGGAGUCAUCAAGUUAUUUCUGGGCUAUGAUUGACUGUUUUGCUGCUGUUUGAAAUUCCAAAUCGCGGAUUGCUCUGCUAUUGCUAACCUCUUCCCCUUUCUACUUGAUUCUCUUCAGGUACACUACUUUGAGUUGCCUUGAUGUAUGCUCAUUGAAAUUGAAAUAAAAAUAUUUGAAGAUCUAUGUUCAGUUGGAGGCUUCCUGUUGUUGCUUUUUACUUGAUGUUAAUUAGUUGUUUUAUGAUUUUAACGACAGAUCUGUGUAUAAUUAGGACCAUUUCUGAAGUAGCUGGGACUCUAUAAGUAAAAGGACUAUUAAAUUGAAUUGUUUUUCUAAUAUUCUGAAAUCAGGAAUAUAGACUGUUAGACUAGUUAUAAUGGUUAUUCGCCAUUGGUCUUAGUAGCUUGGUUUUGGUUCUGUGCAAAUUAAUUGGUAAAAUCAGAAGGACAGCUGAAGUAGGAAUUGGUUUAUAGAUUUGUAACCACGCUUAUUAAUAGUUAAAAGGAGUGAAAUGUCUUGGACGAUACAACCUUCCAUUUCUACAUUCUUAAAUUGUCUGAGUAUGAACGCAAUGACAUUACUUAAUCAUUCUAGGAUGGUCGUUUAAGCCUCAUCAAUUGGUAGACUGUUAGCUUCUUAGAUUAAUAAUUGUCUGGAAUUAAAAUUCGUUUGGUUUGUGCUUGCUCCUCCUGGGACUCGACCACCCAGCUGGCUCCAUGUGGCCUAAUAGGGUUCACCUGCUUUGGGCCAAAAGCAGGUCCAGUAUAUAUAGUUAACGCGAAUUGGGUUUUUCACAAGCUUGGUUCAUUGGAGCAACAAUCAUAAAAUAAAUUCAUAAGGAUUGGGCCAUUUCAAAUGGAAUAAUUGUUUAGGAUUUCCUUUUAUUACUAUAGACAAAAAUAAGAUAGAAAAUCAUAGUUGCUUUUAGGUUGGAAUUUAAAUAAUAAAUGAGACGAGCCUCGCUCAAUAAAAAUGCAAAAUUGUGGGGCCCUCAAUAAUUGGUUAUUAAAAAUGAUUAGAAUUUGGAAGGGUCAUUUAGCGAAUUUCAACGGCCUUUCCCAGAACA